AUUGAACGCUGGCGGCAGGCCUAACACAUGCAAGUCGAACGAGUGGCGGACGGGUGAGUAAUGUCUGGGAAACUGCCUGAUGGAGGGGGAUAACUACUGGAAACGGUAGCUAAUACCGCAUACCAUCGGAUGUGCCCAGAUGGGAUUAGCUAGUAGGGGGUGUAAAGGCUCACCUAGGCGACGAUCCCUAGCUUGUCUGAGAGGAUGACCAGCGACACUGGAACUGAGACACGGUCCAGACGCCUACGGGAGGCAGCAGUGGGGAAGAUUGCACAAUGGGCGCAAGCCGGAUGCAGCCAUGCCGCGUGGAUGAAGAAGGCCUUAGGGUUGUAAAGUACUUUCAGCGGGGAGGCGUUACCCGCAGAAGAAGCACCGGCUAACUCCGUGCCAGCAGCCGCGGUAAUUC
rnacentral:rRNA from 1 species